UGACGGCGCGCGGAGGCGGCCGCGGAGACGCCUCCCCGGCGGGCCGGGAGGGAGUCGCGCGGGAACAACUGUCAACACCUAGUUCUGCCAGAGUCUUAUCGCAUCCGAAUUGCCUCCGCACACCCGAGGGCGGCUUCGGGAUUCGAGCCCACCGCCGCCCGCCCGUGAUCUACUGAGGCGUGGUCUGGACCGGUCUUGCACGGCCCUGCCUAACCUGAGAAGACUGCACAAUAGAGCUCACUGGUCCGAGGAACUCUCCCCGCCUACCGCUGGUGAUGAGAGGAAAAGAAUAGAAAUGCCAAUCGCCAGAGGAAAGUAACAAUACAGAAAUGAAGGAAGUAGAAAAGCAGAAAGAUCAUAAUCAAACCCUGCUAACCAUGCAAGCACAUGAGAAAGUUUUCUCAGUUUUGAAUGAUAUUCACAUUGGAAACAAACAGCCAGGAUUAUGCAAAUUAUUGUCUAGUCUGACUACCUGUAACUGCUAUCAACCACACUCAAAAAAAGUCAAUGCAAGUUCAUGAAAGUGAAGAUAUUAUGGGACAACAAAUGUACAGAAAAGUGAACAGAAGAUGAAAUACUCUGCUCUCAAACAGAAACUGACUGGAAACCAAACUGGAUUCAGAUAUGGAGGAAAGGAAGUAAAAACGUCAUCCACACUGUAUCACAGCAAAUAGAAGAAGUUGCCACAGCCACCCCAGCCUUCAGCAGCCACCACCCAAGAUCAUUCAGCAGCCAUCAAAAUCAAAGCAAGACCCUCCACCAAAACAAAAGAUCAUGUCUGCUUGAAAGCUCGGAUGAUAGCAUUUUUUAGCAAUAGUUUUUUUUUUAAUCAAGAUAAGAAAAAGAAAAAUGGAAAGAAAUGGCAUGGCUACCAUGUAAGCAUGUUAUAGUAUGUAAUUUUCAUCAGGUCACAGAAUUAAGAUUGUAGAAUUGGAAUUCAAACCCAGGUGGUCUGACUAGCCUGGAAAAAUCUGGAUAGAAGAAUGUUUGAUUUACUAAACCGUUUUCCUAAAUGAGAUAAAGCCAUUGAACCAGCUGUAGUUAGAUUUCCAACUCUGUUUGAUUCUUCGGUGUAAAUAAGCCAAUGAGAGAAAAGCCCCUACGUCUGAUCUCAUAACCUUAGGGGACAUGAAUCAAUGAGGAUCUCUUCUACAAUGAUGGACCAGAGCUUGGGGAAGAGUCAGGAAUAGCAGUGCUGAGGAACAUUAUUGACAUGGCCUGGUCACAGUCUAGUCCUACAAUAGCUACCAUGCAUGCAUACUGUCCUAAUGAAGUCCUGCUGUAAAAGAUUGCUUCUUUUAAUAUCUUCUUGAACAGGAACCUUGGCAGGGGUCCAGCAUAGUGAGUCAAGACACUAUUAGCAAAACUGUUGCCCUUUCCAUUACUAAGUUAAACAUGCCUAAAAUAUGAGAAUCCUGUCCUAGAAUCUGGAUGACAAGAGAGUGGAUGUCAUAGUUGGGACCAUUUCCUUCACGCACCACAACAACAAAAGCCCUAUUCUUUUUUUAAGACAAAGUGUAAAGAGCACCCAAUCUGUUCCUAGCAUGGGUUUGAUCUCUAGUCUUGUAGUCCAGCAGUCAUUCUGAAAAACAUAAAUGACAUGAACAUAAUGGCAGCAUACAGGGGGCAAGCAGAGGAUAGGUAGAGAUGUAGAAAAGAUGUGGAAGAUUACUGAAACCAUGUAUUGACUUCUCCAUAUUUCCCCUAAUUUAGACAGAGGGCUGUGGCACAAAGCUUCUCUCAACUGCUUUCAUUGCCUUACGGUAGCAAUGUAAAAGAUGUAUUUCCAAUAAGAAUUAACUUCAUCUCCUCUUCAAGUUGUGACUAAUUGUAAGUGCUAUGUAGAUAGUCAGUAACAAAAAAUCGUCUGGGACUGUUGAAUUCUCAUAGAAAAGCUAAUAGUGUAUUUGAUAUUGGAUCAAAGAGGUAAUUUUUGGCAACAGAAGUGUACUUUUCUAUCUAGUCAUGAUAACAUAAUCAACUAGCAUAUAUCAACCUAAUGGCUUAUUAGCUCUUGUCUACGUAUUUGAUUUCAGGGCCUGUUGAUGCAUCCUUAGUUGUUUGCAAACUGCCUAGUAUGUAAAUGUCCUAGAGAAUCCCAUGUAGCCAUCAUAUUAACUCACUGUAAAGGGUAAACUUACCUGUAAAAGGGAGAUAUUUACAGUACUUAAUUCUUAGGCAUCAUAUGAGGAUUAAAUGGGACAUGUGCAUGAAGGAUUUAGAAUAGUGCUUGGUACCUAGAAUGUGUAUCAUAAGUCAGGGGCCCUUCCAGGAAGUAGCAUUCUCUCCGUAUGACCCAAAGGAAUAAGUGUUAGUGAAAGUACUGCAUACAUGAGGGUAGGGGGAAGGGAACAAGCAAGGGCUGGUAGGCACCUGGAGACAAGCAAUACUCCUCAGGCUGAGGGGACACAGGAAAGAGAGCCAGCUGUUAGCUGAAACUGUAGAAGAGGGACCACCCAGUAGGCAUUGUAAUCUAAGAGGGAUGAAACUGCUGACAGAGAUGCUUUGUCAAAGCAGAGGGGGAUUGGGAAGAAAUACUCUGACCUAUUUCUUGUGCCAGUGCCUCCCAUCAGCCAAACUUAAACAGCAGCCAACUUGGCCAGAUAGCGUAGGACAUGCAGUCCUUGGUGAUCAGUUUGCUAGAGCAUAAGGCAGAAAAGAGCAAAUAAUGGAUUUGGGGGGUGAGGUAAUGGGGAGAAGGGGGAAUGCAGAUUAACCAAUGUACUCUGAUUCAUUUUCUAUUUUAAACCAAAACAAACUAUCUGAAUCCUAACCAAGUUGGUAUAACUGCAUCUUUUCCCUACUAUGAGAAAUAAAUUAUGUGAAAUUUUGUUCAUAUAAAGGUUCAUAUAUGCUUUC